AGACUGAAAUACUGCGGCGGACCUCAAAUGGUGUAGCUUCUAAAAAUACGCCUUUAUUUUACCAAAAAACGACUCUGGCACCACAAGGUUCAGCCAUUUCAACUCAAAUUGAAAGGGAUUCUUGAACAUUUGUUCAAUGUAGCUUUUUUAACCAAGCUAGUGACUACGAGACUAAGUCACCCUAUGGAUCUAAUAUCAAUAACUGUAUAAAAGAGUGCGUGUCGUCUAAAUCCGACCAUGUGAGAAUGACUCAUCGAGUCUAUCACGCAGAGUUUUCAAACCGGAAAUAGGACAAUUUCAAAAUGGAAGCUAUAAAGAUAAAAGCAAUCACCGGAUAUCCACUUGACGAUGUACGAGACAAACCAAAGCAGAAUUCACACAUUAAUUUAACUUGGGCCUCAGAUCGAUACAAGAAUGCUUUUGUUCUGCGAGCGGAACCGGAAGUGCGGCGACAUGUGCCCUCCUCAGCUUGAUGGCAAAGAAAAGAACCACCACCAGAAGACAGAAGAUCAAGCACGUUACAAGGAAGACGAGCAGCGACGGCCUUCCUUCCCUUCCUGCCUGCAUCCAUGCAGAUUUCCAGCCUUUGGGGAAUUAUGAAGAAGGAAGAAACAGUGAGUCACACAGACUUGAACGAGCUGCUUCAGCAAAAGUCAACAACCACACUGUAUUUCUUCAGAAUGACCACUAGGUGGCAUUAGACAGACGGUUGUCAAGUGUGACUUCACAUGUAAUCUUACAAUGCAGAACACUUGAUAUGA